GCCAUUUGCGGGGGCGUGGGUAACGCUGCCCUCGAAACCCCCCUCGACCCAAUCCAAUCGCCCGCACGCCGCAACCCUUCCUCCCUCCUUGAUCUCUCUCCCUCAGCCGCCACGAACCCUAGCCCCUUUUCCUACGAUCCCGCGGUCGCUGCCCUUGCUCCAUCCGACCUCCCUCGUCAGCCGCCGCCGCUAUGGCUCCUCCGUCCUCCGACUCUGUCUCCCCAAUUCAUCCUCCAUCCCUUUCUGCUCGAGGUGCUCAUCGGCCCAGGUCGUGAGGAAGCCGCGUGAGGAGGAGCCCAGGUCGCGAAGCCGCGUGAGGAGGAGAGACCUCGCCCGAGAAGCUGUGGGAGGAGGGCCUCAACCAGAGAGGAGCGGCUGCCAGCCAUGUAGUCGGCUCAGCUCGACACCGUCCUUGGCGUCCGGGCCGCGGCAGACCCUAGCGCCAUCCUUCAGGAGUCUUCACGACCGCCAGGUGCGCAUCUUUCAGGAUUUAAUAAUGAGUUAUGUUGGGCUUCAUUGGACAAAUGAUCUACCUGGAGCAAUGAUACAGGUAAAUUAUCGAUGCAUCUGAGCUGCUCUAUCUUAUUGUUCAGCUACUGGACUGGUUUUAGUUGAUAAUAAAUUGUUCUCUAUUUCAAAGAGCAACAACACGAGAUUGUGCGCUGUCUUGCUCCAGCAUACAAUGUGCCAGGUUCUACUGCAACAGUAUGACAUACAAAGUGAUGGAGGAGAGGUGUUCAGAGAAAGAGUUAUACAUGUGCCAGGUUCUGAAGUAUGAGGAUCCGGUGCGACAAGAAGCAGCUGUGAAUAUGGUUCCUGUAGAUGAACUUAAGGAGAAGGCGCUUAUUUCACUGGCCAAGGAAACAUGUGAAAAAGGUGGGAUCUUUCCGUCGGCUUCGCAGCUGGCUAUAUGCAUCAUAGAGCAUCUAAUCUGCAUCAACUUUAGACAUGGUGUGGAGCGUCGACCACGGCGAGCUUGGCUAAUGUCAACACGUGAAGGUGAGUUUCACCCAAUCCCUUUUCACUCCUCUCCCUCUCCCUCUCUAAUUCCAUCUAACUCUGCAGCUCGGCAAGCUUAUGCAAUGUGCUCUGUUUCCAUACUUUUUAUUGUUUUAAAUAGAUAUCACUCAGGAGAGCAUGUUCUUUAGGUUAGCAUUACUGUGAAGGACCUAUACCUUCCUGUUUAAUUGAUUAUGUUUGCACAACAUGUAUUUUCAAAAUUAGUUGUUCAUGUGCGAAGAAUUUUGUUAGUUUUUAGUUUUAAAAAGGUAUACAUUGGUUCCUAAUUUGACCCAAGCAGCCAAAAUGGAUGGAUAUAUUUUUUGUGGUGUUCUAAGGGAAGCAGGCCCUCUGUUACAGCUUGCUAGCCAUUUUUGUUUGUGAAUACGCAAGGGUGCCUUGCCUUCUCUACUCUGAUGUUUCGGGUAUUUGAUAGCCUUGCUGCACACGUUUUGUUUGAAUGUCUUUGUGAUCGUACUGACAUGUUAUAUUUCGUCCUCAGCUGGGUCAAGUACAGAAGACGAAACACAAGAUUCAAGAUCACUCUCUUGUAUGUGAUUAUUUACUCAUUUCGAGCCAUUUUGCAACCCAGCUUGACUUCUUUUAUUUUGUGAUCUGAGCUAUACACACCAAAAUUAGCCCACGUAAGUUUGAACCAUAUCUGAACAUGUUAGAUCACUCUCCUGUAUGUGAUGAUUUACUCUAUGGAGCCAUGUUAUGACCUAGCUUGAGUUCUUUUAUUUGCGAUCUGAGCUGCAAAAUAAAAAUAAAAAUAGUCCACGUAAUUUGAACCAUAUCUGAACAUUUUAGUAUCUGAAUACUGAAAUUACCAAAUCUUCACUUCGCCAUGUGUGACACCACUGAGUACUUUAACUAAGCUAGCUGUAGUAAUAUUACGUUUUACAUGGCUAUGCAAGUUAAAGGUUCUAAUAUAGUGUACGUUUAUUGAUAUUUUGUGUUAUACUGAUUAAUAUACUUCACAUAUAAGUUUUAAGCUAAGAGCUCCUAAUAAUUGUUUCUCCUCUUUGCAGUUGCCAUUUUAGUCAUAUUUUUGCUGAGAUAAAGAAUAAUAUUGAGAUAAAUUUCCUUUCCGAUGAUGAGAUUGGGUAUGCCUAUGUUUUGUAUUUUUUUCAGUAUUAUCUUAUUUCAGGCUUCAGUUAGAUGAGAGAGCUAAGAGAUAAUAUGGUAAACAAUUUCUAUCAAGUGGGUGAGCUCCAUUUUUCAAGGUAAGUCAGGUGACAGCCAAAAAAAACCAAGGAGAUGAGUCUCUUAUCAGUUGAUUUGAUCUUAUCCAGGUUCUAUUUUCUUUCAGGCCAUGAGUUACGAUGUCUUGGUUAGAGCUACUACAUUCAAAGAGUAAAUCUGUUUCGUUGUACUGGAUUUAUGUACAUUGUAUGAAAAAGGUGCAUCUAUUAUGCCCUGUAGAAUUUUCAGCUGAGCAAUUGUGUAGACUUACAAAGCUAUCAUGACAGAUGUUAGUGAUUUUUGUAUUGGGGCCAUGUUACAUCUCUAGGGUUGAAUUAAUGGCUAGAAAUUCAGAGUUACAUAGCUGAAAACAGGUUGCUCGAAGCAAACAAGCUGCUUAUUCAGUAUUUUUAACACUCAUGGAAAAGGUAUAUGCUCAUCCUAAAUUCCAAAUUAUUAUUAUAUCACAUAACUGAAAGUGCAUUAGACCAAUGGUGUUAUCAGAAAUAAAUUUCUGCCCCAUAGCUGAACCGUGUCUUUUCUCAGUGUGUAUAUAUGUUAGAGAUGUGUAUGAUUCGGAUAAUUUUCUUCAUUUGUUAACUUUACCAAUGUAUGGCUGACAUGCUUCAUUAUGUUAUAUCACAUCUGAAAGUGCAUUACACCGGUGGUUUAUUAGAAUGGAUAAUUUCGGUCAAAUAAUUGAGUUCUUUUCUUCUGUGUAUAUACAAGUUAUAGAUGUGCAUGAUUAUGUUUAUUCUCUACAUUUGGUAAAUUCACCUAUGUAUGGCUGACAUACUUCUUCAGGUUAUGUUUCUAAAGCUCCAUGCUUAAUCAUCCAGAAUGUUUCCAAGUGACUGCUUUACACAUGGGAGACUGGAUGCAUAGAGGAGUUCAGAGAAGCUGGUGUUAUGUUACAUAUGGUCUUCAAGCUGAUGUUAUGUUUCUUCCAUGGUUUGUAUAUUUGUUGCAAAAACAUAGUACAAGAAAAAGAUCUAUGCUCAUGAAGAUGGCAGAAGGGAACUACAUGUGGAACAAGAACCACCAGCGCUGACCAGUUGGGCGUCUGGAUAGUGGUAGUGCACAAAAAUUGCUUGCCGUAUAGAGUCAACGUAAUCUACUACUAGCCCACUCGCUGAUUUUUAUGUUAUGAAAUUAUAGUUCAACCAUAGUAUGUAUUUACACUCCUGCUGUGAGAUUGUACUACAUAAAUUAUGGGAGGACAAAGUAGGCCUUUAUAUGCAAAUAACAACUUGUUGAAAUGAGUAACUUGAGCCA